rnacentral:rRNA from 2 species
UAGAGUUUGAUCAUGGCUCAGGACGAACGCUGGCGGCGUGCCUAAUACAUGCAAGNUCGAACGAACUCUGGUAUUGAUUGGUGCUUGCAUCAUGAUUUACAUUUGAGUGAGUGGCGNAACUGGUGAGUAACACGUGGGAAACCUGCCCAGAAGCGGGGGAUAACCUGUGGACCGGGUGUUCUAUUCCCGCAUAACAACUUGGACCGCAUGGUCCGAGCUUGAAAAGGUGGCUUCGGCUUAUCCUUUUUGGAUGGUUCCGCGGGCUUAUUAGCUUGAUGGUGGGGUAACGGCUCCCCCAUGGCAAUUGAUACGUAGCCGACCUGAGAGGGUAAUUGGCCCCCAUUGGGACUGAGACCCGGGCCCAAACCUCCUACCGGGAGGCAGCCGUUAGGGAAUCUUUCACCAAUGGACGAAAGUUUUGAUGGAGCNAACCGCCGCGUGAGUGAAGAAGGGUUUCGGCUCGUAAAACUCUGUUGUUAAAGAAGAACAUUUUCUGAGAGUAACUGUUCAGGUAUUGACGGUAUUUAACCAGAAAGCCACGGCUAACUACGUUGCCAGCAGCCGCGGUAAUACGUAGGUGGCAAGCGUUGUCCGGAUUUAUUGGGCGUAAAGGGGAGCGCAGGCGGUUUUUUAAGUCUGAUGUGAAAGCCUUCGGCUCAACCGAAGAAGUGCAUUCGGAAACUGGGAAACUUGAGUGCAGAAGAGGACAGUGGAACUCCAUGUGUAGCGGUGAAAUUGCGUAGAUAUAUGGAAGAACACCAGUGGCGAAGGCGGCUGUCUGGUCUGUAACUGACGGUUGAGGCUCGAAAGUAUGGGUAGCAAACAGGAUUAGAUACCCUGGUAGUCCAUACCGUANAACGAUGAAUGCUAAGUGUUGGAGGGUUUCCGCCCUUCAGUGCUGCAGCUAACGCAUUAANGCAUUCCGCCUGGGGAGUACGGCCGCAAGGCUGAAACUCAAAGGAAUUGACGGGGGCCCGNCACAAGCGGUGGAGCAUGUGGUUUAAUUCGAAGCUACGCGAAGAACCUUACCAGGUCUUGNACAUACUAUGCAAAUCUAAGAGAUUAGACGUUCCCUUCGGGGACAUGGAUACAGGUGGUGNCAUGGUUGUCGUCAGCUCGUGUCGUGAGAUGUUGGGUUAAGUCCCGCAACGAGCGCAACCNCUUAUUAUCAGUUGCCAGCAUUAAGUUGGGCACUCUGGUGAGACUGCCGGUGACAAACCGNGAGGAAGGUGGGGAUGACGUCAAAUCAUCAUGCCCCUUAUGACCUGGGCUACACACGUGCNUACAAUGGAUGGUACAACGAGUUGCGAACUCGCGAGAGUAAGCUAAUCUCUUAAAGCCAUNUCUCAGUUCGGAUUGUAGGCUGCAACUCGCCUACAUGAAGUCGGAAUCGCUAGUAAUCGCNGGAUCAGCAUGCCGCGGUGAAUACGUUCCCGGGCCUUGUACACACCGCCCGUCACACCAUNGAGAGUUUGUAACACCCAAAGUCGGUGGGGUAACCUUUUAGGAACCAGCCGCCUAAGGGGG